UCGUUUUAACAAAAGUUAAAAUUCCCUCAUUUUCUGUUCUUCCUCUUUCCCAACUCGCGAAUAUCUUUCUUCUUCUUCCUCUUUCUCAUCUCCUAAGCCUCUUAAAAAUUUCCUCAACCUAUUUCUCUCUAAAAAGCUUUUUCUUAGACUCUAGCUUGGAUGGCGACUCCCGUCUCUCCAAUAAAAUCGCUUUGGUCCAUUUUCCAAUCCAAGCCAAACCCUCCCAAAGCCUUCCUCUCUCUUCCAGGCUCAUUUCAUAGACUACGCCAUUAUGAUAGUGCCAGUGUGAGCUUCUAGACCAAUCCAUAGAGGGAAGAAAGUUGUAAUUGCAAAUUGCUGUGGUUUGUUCUUUUAGCAUUGGGAGGAAGACAGGAAGAGUAAAAAUCACAGAGGGAGAAGAUGAUAUACCAAAAGUGGAGUCUCCUAAAGGGCCCAGUGGUCAUUGCCAACUUACUUUUCAUUAAGAAUGUAAACUUUUCUUUUCUUUUCCUUCGAUUUUGAAACCCUAGAUGUUCUAUUUGAGUUUUGUUGUUUGAUUUUUUGGGUGAAUCGAAGAAUUCAUUUUUACUGAGAUUUCUUUUGAAAUUUCUCUGGUGGAAUGAUUUGCAUUGGGUUUUUAUUCAUCAUAAGAUUUGAUUAUGGGAGACAUCUUUCUUGAUAAACCUUAUGGCUGUUGGAUCGUGCCUCUGUUUAUAAUCGUAAAAAUUGAAUUUGUUUUAUGCAGUUUGUGAAUAAAUUUGAAUGAUUGUUAUUGUGCCUUGUUCAAGUUGAGUUCGAAAGUAAUCAAUGUUGGAUUUGAUAUUUGGAACCACUAAAAGCUGAAAUUAUACUCAAUUGAGCAUACUAUAAAAUUAUAUUAGAUGUUUAUAUGUACUGGGGAGAGGGUUUUAUUGUUAGACCAAGGAAAAAUGGGGGAAGUGGGGGAAAUACAACAAUUUGACUAGGUGUUAAGGUGUUCUGUACUUCAAUGGAAAUAGUUUGUAAAAAUUAGUAAUGUUCUAUCAAUUUUAUUUUAAGAUCAGUUUUUUAGCCCCUUACAAUAAGAAUCCUAUGGAUUUUGAAUAUAACCUCACAAAUUUGAAGAAGAAGAAGAAGAAGCAAUCAGCAAAGGAGGAAAAUGUUGGAGUUGCCAUAGAGGAUCAAAGUGAUUAAAAGCGAUACAAUCUACAGCAGAGCUGUUGGUCUAGGAGGGAUGGCAAUCGGAGACCAGGAAGGAGGGCAAAUUUUAAUCUCAUAUUGUUUUCUGAGUUUUUCUUGUCAACGUAAAUCAUAGUUUUUCAUUGUGAUUUUGUUGUUAGGAGGCUGAACUUCCAGUGGUUGAGCCUACGCCAAAGGUGUUGCCAAACGAUGAGGAUCCAAGUUUGUUUAGCAGAAAUAAAAGAAUGUUAGGGCAACUUUUAGGUACUUUGGAGUCUUAGAGCACGCGUUGCUGCCAAAACAGAAGAAAAGAAGUUAGAAUUGUUGUUUCUUCGAUGAAGUGAGCUCCAUAAAAACUUUGCAUAUUUAUAAGGUAUGUGGUUCUUCCAUUUCAUACUAAAGUCAUUGACAUUUAAUCAACUGCAUUAAUAUUUUUCUAUAACUGAUAUUCUAUUACAGUUUAUUUUUAACUUUGGUCCAAAGUGUCCAUAUUUACAGAUUUAUAGAGACAAAGAUAAGUUUCUAUUCAUAUGCAGAGUAGCGUUAAAGGAACCCGCUGAGUGAAUAUUCCUUUUGCUUUGUAGGAUUUUAGAAAGAAUUACUUAGUAAUUUCUGUCACUUCUGACACAUUGUUAAUUAUUUCUGGGAUGUGUUUUUCAGGACUUAGGGGCAAAAAAGAAAGGUGUGUUACUUUUCCAUGUCUUUCUUUCUACCCCUGAACCUGUUUUCCAAUUUUGAAUGAAAAAUAUGAAUUUUAUAGAACCUACUACUCAAUUUUAUAGAGCUAGAAUGAAUAUUGCAAUUUUUAGUA